UACAGAGGUGGCAAGCGUUGUUCGGAAUUACUGGGCGUAAAGGGCGCGUAGGUGGCCUUUUGAGUCAGACGUGAAAUCCCCCCGGCUUAACCUGGGAAUUGCGCUUGAAACUAGCGGGCUUGAGUGCGGCAGAGGGGGGGUGGAAUUCCACGUGUAGCAGUGAAAUGCGUAGAGAUGUGGAGGAAUACCGAUGGCGAAGGCAGCCCCCUGGGCCAAUACUGACGCUCAUGCACGAAAGCGUGGGGAGCAAACAGG
rnacentral:rRNA from 1 species